rnacentral:rRNA from 1 species
GAUGAACGCUGGCGGCGUGCCUAAUACAUGCAAGUCGAGCGAACAGACGAGGAGCUUGCUCCUCUGACGUUAGCGGCGGACGGGUGAGUAACACGUGGAUAACCUACCUAUAAGACUGGGAUAACUUCGGGAAACCGGAGCUAAUACCGGAUAAUAUAUUGAACCGCAUGGUUCAAUAGUGAAAGACGGUUUUGCUGUCACUUAUACAUGGAUCCGCGCCGCAUUAGCUAGUUGGUAAGGUAACGGCUUACCAAGGCGACGAUGCGUAGCCGACCUGAGAGGGUGAUCGGCCACCCUGGAACGGAGACACGGUCCAGACUCCUACGGGAGGCAGCAGUAGGGAAUCUUCCGCAAUGGGCGGAAGCCUGACGGAGCAACGCCGCGUGAGUGAUGAAGGUCUUCGGAUCGUAAAACUCUGUUAUGAGGGAAGAACAAAUGUGUAAGUAACUAUGCACGUCUGGACGGUACCUAAUCAGAAAGCCACGGCUAACUACGUG